GGCCACAUAGUUCAACUGGAUAGAAUAUCAGAUUUCGGCUCUGAGGGUUGGGGGUUCGAAUCCUCCUGUGGUCA
rnacentral:tRNA from 1 species